UAAUACGGGGGGUGCGAGCGUUGUCCGGAAUCACUGGGCGUAAAGGGCGCGUAGGUGGUUUGAUAAGGGUGUGGUGAAAGUCCGGGGCUCAACCCCGGAUCUGCCGUGCCGACUGUCAAACUCGAGGACUGUAGAGGCAGACGGAAUUCCGGGUGUAGCGGUGGAAUGCGUAGAGAUCCGGAGGAAGACCGGUGGCGAAGGCGGUCUGCUGGGCAGUUUCUGACACUGAGGCGCGACAGCGUGGGGAGCAAACAGGAUUAGAUACCCUGGUAGUCCACGCCGUAAACGAUGGGUACUAGGUGCCUGGGGGAGCGACCCUCUGGGUGCCGGCGCUAACGCAGGAAGUACCCCGCCUGGGGAGUACGACCGCAAGGUUG
rnacentral:rRNA from 1 species